rnacentral:rRNA from 1 species
UAGUCCACGCCGUAAACUAUGAUAACUCGCUGUUGGCGAUAUACUGUCAGCGGCCAAGCGAAAGCAUUAAGUUAUCCACCUGGGGAGUACGCGGCAACGGUAAAACUCAAAGGAAUUGACGGGGACCCGCACAAGCGGUGGAGCAUGUGGUUUAAUUCGAUGCAACGCGAAGAACCUUACCUGCCCUUGACAUUGACAGAAUCCCGUAGAGAUAUGGGAGUGCUUCGGCCUGGAAAACAGGUGCUGCAUGGCUGUCGUCAGCUCGUGUCGUGAGAUGUUGGGUUAAGUCCCACAACGAGCGCAACCCCUGUCACUAGUUGCCAGCAUUUAGUUGGGGACUCUAGUGAGACUGCCCAGAUCAACUGGGAGGAAGGUGGGGACGACGUCAAGUCAGUAUGGCCUUUAUACCUAGGGCUGCACACGUACUACAAUGUCCAGCACAAUGUGAACCGAUACCGCGAGGUGGAGGAAAUCUCAAAAACUGGGACUCAGUUCGGAUUG